rnacentral:rRNA from 1 species
UACAGAGGUCUCAAGCGUUGUUCGGAUUCAUUGGGCGUAAAGGGUGCGUAGGCGGCGCGGUAAGUCGGGUGUGAAAUCUUGGAGCUUAACUCCGAAACUGCAUUCGAUACUGCCGUGCUUGAGGACUGGAGAGGAGACUGGAAUUUACGGUGUAGCGGUGAAAUGCGCAGAUAUCAGGAGGAACACCGGUGGCGAAGGCGGGUCUCUGGGCCGAUACUGACGCUGAGGAGCGAAAGCGUGGGGAGCAAACAGG